UCUGAAUCCCAGGCUCUAAGCUACUUAAUCUCUCUGAAGCUCUCAUUUGUAUAAUGGGGGAUUAGGACUCACCUUGGAGGAUUACUUUGAGGGUUAAAUAUGCGUUUGUGGAGCACCUAUUGGUUACCGGGGCGUAGCGUGAACCCUGGUGCCUCUUCUCCAGGGCAGCGUCGAGGGUACUCUGGAAAAGAGCGGGCAGCGAGCGGUCCUCCCAAGGUAUUGUUCUUGCAGAUUCAAAGGUGCUCAGACAGAGACCUGAGGACGCCUUCUUCCGCAGAAUCCGGCCUUUGGAGGUAAUGUGCCAUCUUCAAAGCAGGCCUACAACAAUGGACUGCCCGCAGGGACAGGGCCUGCCUCUUCUCUAUACAAAGCCCACGCAGGGACCACACUUGGCAGGCCUGGCGUCUCUCCAGCACAAGUGACAGGGGCAGGUAAGGGGCCUGAGCCAGGAGGAGGGGAGCUGAGCUCCCUCCCUCCACACUCCCCACUCCCAUUGCACCGGUCACUUCCCCCUUUAGGAGACCCGCGUGGCCAGGUCUCCUACCACUGCCCCUGGUGGCAGUGACCAGGAGGAAAUACUUCUAAAAGCAGCAGAGUGAGGCGGAACCGCGGAGCCCCACUGCUUACGAAUUCAUCUAGAUUUUGUCACUUCUAAGCUGUGUGACCUCAGACAUGUUUACUCGGCCUCUCGGUGCCUUGGUUUCCUCCUCGUCUCAUGGAAAUGAGGUAGAACUGAAGUGAGGUAGCCCAGGCUUCUAUCCCUCUGUUAAGCUGGAAGCUCUGUGAGGCAGGGAUGGUAUGGUCUCAUUCAGCUCCAGGAUUCUUACUAUGUACAGCAAAUAA
rnacentral:lncRNA from 1 species